AUUGAACGCUGGCGGCAUGCCUUACACAUGCAAGUCGAACGGUAACAGGUCUUCGGAUGCUGACGAGUGGCGAACGGGUGAGUAAUACAUCGGAACGUGCCCGACCGUGGGGGAUAACGGAGCGAAAGCUUUGCUAAUACCGCAUACGAUCUACGGAUGAAAGCAGGGGACCGCAAGGCCUUGCGCGAACGGAGCGGCCGAUGGCAGAUUAGGUAGUUGGUGGGAUAAAAGCUUACCAAGCCGACGAUCUGUAGCUGGUCGGAGAGGACGACCAGCCACACUGGGACUGAGACACGGCCCAGACUCCUACGGGAGGCAGCAGUGGGGAAUUUUGGACAAUGGGCGCAAGCCUGAUCCAGCAAUGCCGCGUGCAGGAUGAAGGCCUUCAGGUUGUAAACUGCUUUUGUACGGAACGAAAAGGCUCUGGUUAAUACCUGGGGCUCAUGACGGUACCGUAAGAAUAAGCACCGGCUAACUACGUGCCAGCCGCCGCAGUAACAC
rnacentral:rRNA from 1 species